rnacentral:rRNA from 1 species
GUGGCGAACGGGUGAGUAACACGUGGGCAAUCUGCCCUUCACUCUGGGACAAGCCCUGGAAACGGGGUCUAAUACCGGAUAACACCUGCCCGGGCAUCCGGGUGGGUUAAAAGCUCCGGCGGUGAAGGAUGAGCCCGCGGCCUAUCAGCUUGUUGGUGAGGUAGUGGCUCACCAAGGCGACGACGGGUAGCCGGCCUGAGAGGGCGACCGGCCACACUGGGACUGAGACACGGCCCAGACUCCUACGGGAGGCAGCAGUGGGGAAUAUUGCACAAUGGGCGAAAGCCUGAUGCAGCGACGCCGCGUGAGGGAUGACGGCCUUCGGGUUGUAAACCUCUUUCAGCAGGGAAGAAGCGAAAGUGACGGUACCUGCAGAAGAAGCGCCGGCUAACUACGUGCCAGCAGCCGCGGUAAUACGUAGGGCGCAAGCGUUGUCCGGAAUUAUUGGGCGUAAAGAGCUCGUAGGCGGCUUGUCACGUCGGGUGUGAAAGCCCGGGGCUUAACCCCGGGUCUGCAUUCGAUACGGGCUAGCUAGAGUGUGGUAGGGGAGAUC